CCUACGGGUGGCAGCAGUGGGGAAUAUUGGACAAUGGGCGAAAGCCUGAUCCAGCCAUGCCGCGUGUGUGAAGAAGGCCUUCGGGUUGUAAAGCACUUUCAGUGGGGAAGAAAGCCUUGGGGCUAAUACCCUCGAGGAAGGACAUCACCCACAGAAGAAGCACCGGCUAACUCCGUGCCAGCAGCCGCGGUAAUACGGAGGGUGCGAGCGUUAAUCGGAAUUACUGGGCGUAAAGCGCGCGUAGGCGGUCUGAUAAGCCGGUUGUGAAAGCCCCGGGCUCAACCUGGGAACGGCAUCCGGAACUGUCAGGCUAGAGUGCAGGAGAGGAAGGUAGAAUUCCCGGUGUAGCGGUGAAAUGCGUAGAGAUCGGGAGGAAUACCAGUGGCGAAGGCGGCCUUCUGGACAGACACUGACGCUGAGGUGCGAAAGCGUGGGUAGCAAACAGGAUUAGAUACCCGGGUAGUC
rnacentral:rRNA from 1 species